GGGAAGUAAAAAUCGUAACAAGGUCUCCGUUGGUGAACCAGCGGAGGGAUCAUUACCGAGUUUACAACUCCCAAACCCAAUGUGAACGUUACCAAUCUGUUGCCUCGGCGGGAUUCUCUGCCCCGGGCGCGUCGCAGCCCCGGAUCCCAUGGCGCCCGCCGGAGGACCAACUCAAACUCUUUUUUCUCUCCGUCGCGGCGUACGUCGCGGCUCUGUUUUAUUUUUGCUAUGAGCCUUUCUCGGCGACCCUAGCGGGCGUCUCGAAAAUGAAUCAAAACUUUCAACAACGGAUCUCUUGGUUCUGGCAUCGAUGAAGAACGCAGCGAAAUGCGAUAAGUAAUGUGAAUUGCAGAAUUCAGUGAAUCAUCGAAUCUUUGAACGCACAUUGCGCCCGCCAGUAUUCUGGCGGGCAUGCCUGUCCGAGCGUCAUUUCAACCCUCGAACCCCUCCGGGGGGUCGGCGUUGGGGAUCGGCCCCUCACCGGGCCGCCCCCGAAAUACAGUGGCGGUCUCGCCGCAGCCUCUCCUGCGCAGUAGUUUGCACACUCGCACCGGGAGCGCGGCGCGGCCACAGCCG
rnacentral:rRNA from 1 species